AAAAAGUUUUUGCUCUGUUUUUCCGAAUUAACGAGUUAAUUAUCUCAGAAUUACGAGAUAAUUUUUCAUUAAAAAAAAAUAUUUUGUUCUGUUUUUCUGAAUUAAUGAGAUCCCUCAAAAUCCUACCAGGAGCUCUGUUUUAGCUGGAUUGCAUGGAAGUAAACAUGUCCCGCCUUUCAAGUUUAAUCCGGUUUUAUUUUACAUUGGGUUUGAGACAUUGGGAGAUACUGCUGUCUUUAAGUAAUAUAAAUGGUAUUGUUAUUAGUGCGUCAACUUUGCGCAGACACCUCAAGACUUUGCGCCUGUUCAGGAGAAAAGAACAUUCUGAUCUGCUUGACAUUGCUGUGUUUCUCCAGGAUCAGUUAAACCGAUAUGGUAUGCUUCACGGAUAUAAGAUGAUGCAUCUGAAAUGCAUUCAGGCUGGCUACGUGGUGACACAAGAGACAAUCAGGCAAUUGUUGAAAAUACUGGAUCCCCAUGGAGUGCAACUGAGGCGCCGGAAUCGUCUUCAGCGACGUUUGUAUCAUAAUCCAGGCCCUAACUUUUUAUGGCAUGUUGAUUCAUAUGAUAAACUCAAACCAUAUGGGAUCUGCAUCAAUGGUGCAAUCGACGGGUUUUCACGAAUGAUAAUAUGGCUACAUGCAUACUCUACAAGUAGUGAUCCCAAGGUCAUCGCUGGAUACUUUAUUGAUGCGGUGUCAUCAAGGAAUGGGACAGCCACCCGAAUUCUCUCAGACUUAUGGACAGAGAAUUGUUACAUGGAACAGAUGCAGAUGUUCUUGAGACAUGAUCAUAUGGACUAUUCGAGAAAUUGCUAUUUGUAUGGCUCAAGCAAUCAUCACCAACGGAUAGAGCACUGGUGGGGAUUUUUGAGGAAGCAGCAUGCACAGUUCUGGAUCAACCUAUUUCAAGAUCUAAAAGAUUCUGACGACUUCUCCGGUGACUUCCUAGACAAAAGUCUAAUACAGUUCACAUGUCUUGAAAUAAUAGAGAGAGAACUGCAGGAUGUUGUUCACCUCUGGAACACUCACAGAAUUCGCCCAUCCAGAAAUGCUGUGUCUCCAGGUGGACGUCCAGUGAUGAUGUACACCCUGCCCCAACUUUUUGGUGCUA
ensembl:lncRNA